GUUCACGUGUGAACGUCGGAAGUGGUACGUGGGUCCGGGGUUCCAGGGAUCCCAUCCAGGACAGCACAUUACAUUUAUGUCUCCUGAGGCUCCUCUUAACUGUGACAGUUUCUCAGACUUUCCUUGUUUCUGAUGCACAGAUUUGAGGAGUACUGGUCAGGAAUAUUGUAGGUGUUGGUUAUUUUUUGUAUGUAAUAUUUCAUGAUUAAAAAUUACUAAUCAGGGGGACUUUCCUGGUGGUCCAGUGGUUAAGAAUCCAUCUGCCAAUGCAGGGGACACAGGUUCCAUCCCUGGUCUGGAAAGAUCCCAUAUGCCGUGGGACAGCUAAGCCUGUGUACCACAACUACCACAGCUACUGAAGCCUGCAUGCCUAGAGCCUGUGCUCCACAGCAAGAGAAGCCACUUCAGUGAGAAGCCCGCGCACCGUAACGAAGAGUAGCCCCACUCGCCGCAUCUAGAGAAAAGACUGCGCACAGCAAUGAAGACCCAGCGCAGCCAAAAAAAAAAAAAAAAAAGAACCUAAGAGUGGUGAUCAUUAAAAAAAAAAAAGAAAAAUUACUAAUCAGGGACUUCCCUCGCAGUCCAGUGGUUAAGAAUUCGUGCUUCCACUGCAGGGGACACAGGUUCAAUUCCUGGUUGGGGAACUAAGAUCCCGCAUGCCAUACGGCGCGACCAAAAAGAGAAAAAAAUUACUAAUCGUGAUAGCAAUACCUGUUGGGCCUACCUUAAAACACACACAGACACACACACACACACACACACACACACACACACACACACACACCACCUCCAUGCUAUCAAUUUAGUGCAAGCCAGCAUCAUUUCUCACUCUAAUCACUGCAGUUGUCUCUCUGCUCUAUAUUGGGCCUCCACUCCCCCCAUCUUUUCUCCACACAGCAGCCAGAGAGGCUUUAAAAUAUAAAUCAGCUUCUAUUUCUUCUGGUCUCCAGAUGCUUCAGUGGCUUCUUUUCUUGUAGACUAAAAUACACUACAGGAUCCUUCAUGCUCUCAUCACUUAUCAUACUUCCCCUGGCUCACUCUGCUCUGUCACACUGGCUUCUUUGUAGCCCCUGAAACACACCGCACUCCUGCCCUAGGACCGUUGCACCUGUCCUUUACCUGGAACGUUCCUCCCCCGCACAGCCACAGGCUCACUCCUCCACUCUUUCUAGUCUCUGCUCAGAUGUCACCUCUUCAGAGAGGCAUUCCCUCGCACCUUAGCUUGCAGCCCGCCCCCCACAAGUUGUCCUCUUUCUCCUUAGCUUUUUUUUUUAAUUCAAAAUAUCACUACCUGACAUUACAUUCUACAUCUUAAUUUGUUUAUUGUCUGUCUCUUCCAUUAGAAUACAAGUUUCACGAGGCCAAGCACUUAAUACAAUUUGUUUAUUGCUGUACCUUAGGCUCAAAGUUAACAAAUAUUGGUUACAUUAAUUAGUCAAUAAAAUACUUCUUUUUUUUUUUUUACAAGGAAGUUGGUUGUUAGGUAAGGUGGUUCACAAUCUGGGACUCCUGAACUCCUAGAUAUCUUUGAAGGUGGCAGUUUUCUGAAUUUCUAAAGAUCUGGUCAGACUACAAGUUACUUACAGGGGGAUGGUUCAUUAAUGGAUAUAUCUCCAGAACCUGGGAUAAUUCCUUGAAUACACUGAGCACUCAAUAGAGAUACCCGUAUUAUAAUUAACUGGAAUGAAAUUGGCAAUGUGGCAAAGCAAAGUCUUUGUGAUGGCAGCAUAUCUGAAAGGCAGAGGAAUACUGAGAAAGUUUAUGUACAAGGACAAUAAUCACACAUUAAAAUUAUAUAAUGUUUGUUAGUAACACUGUUAUGGACUGAAUUGUGUCUCCGUGCCCCACCCCUCCCCCUGUAGCCCUAACCCCCAUUAUGACUAUAUUUGGAGAUAGAGCCUCUAAGGAAGUCAUUAAGGUUAAAUGAGGUCAUAACAGCGGAGCCCUAAUCUAAUAGAACUAGUGUCCUUAUAAGAAGAGGAAGAGACAGGUGUGCACAGAGAAAAGGCCAUGUGAAUACACAGUGAGAAGGCCACUACCUGCAAGCUAGGAAGAGGUCUCGAAAAACCAACCCCUCUAGCACCUUGAUCUUGGACUUCCAGCCUCCAGAACUGUAAACAAAUAAAUUUCUGUGGUUUUAAGCCACCUAGUCCGAUUUCAGUCACUAUGAGUGGUAUCAUCUUAGAAGGUGAAGGACAAUGGAAGGAAGACAAGGAAGACACCCCAUCCCGUGUUUUGGGGGUGGCUUCAGAUUCAUUGUUUUAUGUACUAUAUGGGAAGAUAUCUAUGAAAUAAAAUUGUAUCUCCGUUGUAAAUAA